CCUACGGGUGGCAGCAGUGAGGAAUAUUGGUCAAUGGGCGGAAGCCUGAACCAGCCAAGUAGCGUGCAGGAUGACGGCCCUACGGGUUGUAAACUGCUUUUAUACGGGAAUAACGCGCCUUACGUGUAGGGCUUUGCAUGUACCGUAUGAAUAAGAACCGGCUAAUUCCGUGCCAGCAGCCGCGGUAAUACGGAAGGUCCGGGCGUUUCCGGAUUUAUUGGGUUUUAAGGGAGCGUAGGCCGCAUGUCAAGCGUGCUGUGAAAUGGCCGGGCUCAACCCCGGCCUUGCAGCGCGAACUGGCGUGCUUGAGUCCGCGGAAAGCAGGCGGAAUUCGUCGUGUAGCGGUGAAAUGCUUAGAUAUGAUGAAGAACCCCGAUUGCGAAGGCAGCUUGCUGCAGCGGAACUGACGCUGAUGCUCGAAAGCGCGGGUAUCGAACAGGAUUAGAGACCCGAGUAGUC
rnacentral:rRNA from 1 species